rnacentral:rRNA from 1 species
AUUGAACGCUGGCGGCAUGCCUUACACACGCAAGUCGAACGGUAACGGGCCUUCGGGUGCCGACGAGUGGCGGACGGGUGAGUAAUACAUCGGAACGUGCCCGAUCGUGGGGGAUAACGAGGCGAAAGCUUUGCUAAUACCGCAUACGAUCUACGGGUGAAAGCAGGGGACCGCAAGGCCUUGCGCGGACGGAGCGGCCGAUGGCAGAUUAGGUAGUUGGUGGGAUAAAAGCUUACCAAGCCGACGAUCUGUAGCUGGUCUGAGAGGAUGAUCAGCCACACUGGGACUGAGACACGGCCCAGACUCCUACGGGAGGCAGCAGUGGGGAAUUUUGGACAAUGGGCGCAAGCCUGAUCCAGCCAUGCCGCGUGCAGGAUGAAGGCCUUCGGGUUGUAAACUGCUUUUGUACGGAACGAAAAGCCUUCUUUUAAUACAGGAGGGUCAUGACGGUACCGUAAGAAUAAGCACCGGCUAACUACGUG